rnacentral:rRNA from 1 species
AAGUGGUUGAUGCCAUGCUUCCAAGAAAAGCUUCUAAGCUUCAGGUAACCAGGAACCGUACCCCAAACCGACACAGGUGGUUGGGUAGAGAAUACCAAGGCGCUUGAGAGAACUCGGGUGAAGGAACUAGGCAAAAUGGCACCGUAACUUCGGGAGAAGGUGCGCCGGUGAGGGUGAAGGACUUGCUCCGUAAGCUCAUGCCGGUCGAAGAUACCAGGCCGCUGCGACUGUUUAUUAAAAACACAGCACUCUGCAAACACGAAAGUGGACGUAUAGGGUGUGACGCCUGCCCGGUGCCGGAAGGUUAAUUGAUGGGGUUAGCUAACGCGAAGCUCUUGAUCGAAGCCCCGGUAAACGGCGGCCGUAACUAUAACGGUCCUAAGGUAGCGAAAUUCCUUGUCGGGUAAGUUCCGACCUGCACGAAUGGCGUAACGAUGGCGGCGCUGUCUCCACCCGAGACUCAGUGAAAUUGAAAUCGCUGUGAAGAUGCAGUGUAUCCGCGGCUAGACGGAAAGACCCCGUGAACCUUUACUAUAGCUUUGCACUGGACUUUGAAUUUGCUUGUGUAGGAUAGGUGGGAGGCUUUGAAGCGUGGACGCCAGUUCGCGUGGAGCCAACCUUGAAAUACCACCCUGGCAACUUUGAGGUUCUAACUCAGGUCCGUUAUCCGGAUCGAGGACAGUGUAUGGUGGGUAGUUUGACUGGGGCGGUCUCCUCCUAAAGAGUAACGGAGGAGUACGAAGGUGCGCUCAGACCGGUCGGAAAUCGGUCGUAGAGUAUAAAGGCAAAAGCGCGCUUGACUGCGAGACAGACACGUCGAGCAGGUACGAAAGUAGGUCUUAGUGAUCCGGUGGUUCUGUAUGGAAGGGCCAUCGCUCAACGGAUAAAAGGUACUCCGGGGAUAACAGGCUGAUACCGCCCAAGAGUUCAUAUCGACGGCGGUGUUUGGCACCUCGAUGUCGGCUCAUCACAUCCUGGGGCUGAAGCCGGUCCCAAGGGUAUGGCUGUUCGCCAUUUAAAGUGGUACGCGAGCUGGGUUUAGAACGUCGUGAGACAGUUCGGUCCCUAUCUGCCGUGGACGUUUGAGAUUUGAGAGGGGCUGCUCCUAGUACGAGAGGACCGGAGUGGACGAACCUCUGGUGUUCCGGUUGUCACGCCAGUGGCAUUGCCGGGUAGCUAUGUUCGGAAUAGAUAACCGCUGAAAGCAUCUAAGCGGGAAACUAGCCUCAAGAUGAGAUCUCACUGGAACCUUGAGUUCCCUGAAGGGCCGUCGAAGACUACGACGUUGAUAGGUUGGGUGUGUAAGCGCUGUGAGGCGUUGAGCUAACCAAUACUAAUUGCCCGUGAGGCUUGACCAUAUAACACCCAAGCAAUU